rnacentral:rRNA from 1 species
CUUGUGGCUAGGGGUGAAAGGCCAAUCAAACUCGGAGAUAGCUGGUUCUCCCCGAAAGCUAUUUAGGUAGCGCCUCGGACGAAUACUACUGGGGGUAGAGCACUGUUAAGGCUAGGGGGUCAUCCCGACUUACCAACCCUUUGCAAACUCCGAAUACCAGUAAGUACUAUCCGGGAGACACACGGCGGGUGCUAACGUCCGUCGUGGAGAGGGAAACAACCCAGACCGCCAGCUAAGGUCCCAAAUUGCUACUAAGUGGGAAACGAUGUGGGAAGGCU